GGAAUAUUGGACAAUGGGCGAAAGCCUGAUCCAGCCAUGCCGCGUGUGUGAAGAAGGUCUUCGGAUUGUAAAGCACUUUAAGUUGGGAGGAAGGGUAGUAACUUAAUACGUUGCUACUUUGACGUUACCGACAGAAUAAGCACCGGCUAACUUCGUGCCAGCAGCCGCGGUAAUACGAAGGGUGCAAGCGUUAAUCGGAAUUACUGGGCGUAAAGCGCGCGUAGGUGGUUCAGUAAGUUGAAUGUGAAAUCCCCGGGCUCAACCUGGGAACUGCAUCCAAAACUGCUGAGCUAGAGUACGGUAGAGGGUAGUGGAAUUUCCUGUGUAGCGGUGAAAUGCGUAGAUAUAGGAAGGAACACCAGUGGCGAAGGCGACUACCUGGACUGGUACUGACACUGAGGUGCGAAAGCGUGGGGAGCAAACAGGAUUAGAUACCCUUG
rnacentral:rRNA from 1 species